rnacentral:rRNA from 1 species
CGAAAGCCUGACGGAGCAAUACCGCGUGAGGGAUGAAGGCUCGUGGGUCGUAAACCUCUUUUCCCAAGGAAGAAGUUCUGACGGUACUUGGGGAAUAAGCAUCGGCUAAUUCCGUGCCAGCAGCCGCGGUAAUACGGGAGAUGCGAGCGUUAUCCGGAAUCACUGGGCGUAAAGCGUCUGCAGGUUGUUUAGUAAGUCUGCCGUUAAAGACUGAAGCUUAACUUCAGGAGUGCAGCAGAAACUGCUAGACUUGAGUAUGGUAGGGGUAGGAGGAAUUUCUAGUGUAGCGGUGAAAUGCGUAGAUAUUAGGAAGAACACCAUUAGCGAAGGCGUCCUACUGGGCCAUUACUGACACUCAGAGACGAAAGCUAGGGUAGCAAACGGGAUUAGAUACCCCGGUAGUCCUAGCCGUAAACGAUGGAUACUAGAUGUUGCGGGUUUACCUGCGGUGUCGUAGCUAACGCGUUAAGUAUCCCGCCUGGGGAGUACGCACGCAAGUGUGAAACUCAAAGGAAUUGACGGGGGCCCGCACAAGCGGUGGAGCAUGUGGUUUAAUUCGAUGCAACGCGAAGAACCUUACCAGGAUUUGACAUACUCGGAAUUUCUUAUAAUAGAGAAAGUGCCUUCGGGAGCCGAGAUACAGGUGGUGCAUGGCUGUCGUCAGCUCGUGUCGUGAGAUGUGGGUUAAGUCCCGCAACGAGCGCAACCCUUGUCUUUAUUUGCCAUUCUUAAGUGGGGGACUAUAGAGAUACUGCCCGUGAAAAGCGGGAGGAAGGUAAGGAUGACGUCAAGUCAGCAUGCCCCUUAUAUCCUGGGCUACACACGUGCUACAAUGACUAAGACAAUGAGAAGCAAGCUUGCGAAAGUUAGCAAAUCUCCGAAACUUAGCCCAAGUUCGGAUUGCAG